GGAUGUGAGGGCAAUCUGGCUGCUACAUCUGUCACCCCUUUGAUCGCCAGAGUUGAUUCGGCUGAUCUGGUUGGAUAGGCGGGUGUCACCUUCCUCCCUCACAGCUCCAUGUGUGUCCCUCUGGAAACUGCACGCUCCUUUGAAGAGGAUGGCCUUCCCUGAAUAGAGAGGGACCAGUCUUAGGUAGAGGGUGUAUUAGUUGCUGUGCUCCCCUGCUAGAACCUCCAAACAAGCUCUCAAAGUAGAUGUCAGUUCAGUUCCCUAUAAGAGCUAUUAUCUGGCUUGCAAAACAUAGUCUUCUUGUGUGC
ensembl:misc_RNA 7SK 7SK RNA